AAAUGAUUCGUCUAUUGUUAUUCGUUGUUCUUGCCAUUUUUUGUGAUAUAUGCCUUACAGAAAGGUUAUGUGGAAUACCUCGUCCUAUUCAACCGCCAGCUUUAAAAUACUCCAUUCCUGCGAAGCCUAACGUGAAUGUAAGGAGACCGAUCAUUGACAAUUAUGAUACAAUACAAACAAGAGUUCUGAAUAAACUACAAGAUAAUCCUGUUAAGGAUGACUGUGGAUGUUUUUCUUUGGAAAUUAUAAGUAAAUUGAUCGAUGCGCUGGUCGUGUCUACAACAAUGCAAAACAAUGGACGAAAUGAGGGCGACUUACUGAAUGUCGCCGUUGGUGACACGAAUAUAUUGGGUGUAUAUGUUUAAAAACAAUAAACGUACAAUAUUAUCUAUCCUUAUAUCUAGAAGGAUUUUUAAAGUACUAUUAAAUGUAAAUAUUAUAUUAUAUAUAUUUAUUUAAUUAUGUAGCCUAUAUGAAAUUGUUGGCUUGGUUCAUAUAAUGUUUGUCCUUUAUGUGACUUCUCUGUUUCGUAACCUUUACUAUUUUGAUUGUAUACAACGUAAAUCGACCGAGAUUUACACUAUUCAACAAUUGAAUGGGUUGCAAAAAAUAUUGCACAUUAUCCACACGGGCGAAUCUACUUUAAGCAAAUAUUAAGAUACUGUUAACAAAUAAAAUGUAAUAAUAAAUCA